rnacentral:rRNA from 1 species
UACAGAGGGUGCGAGCGUUAAUCGGAAUUACUGGGCGUAAAGCGUGCGUAGACGGUUAUUUAAGUCGGAUGUGAAAGCCCCGGGCUCAACCUGGGAAUUGCAUUCGAGACUGAAUAGCUAGGGUACGGUAGAGGGAAGCGGAAUUCCCGGUGUAGCGGUGAAAUGCGCAGAUAUCGGGAGGAACACCUAUGGCGAAGGCAGCUCGCUGGGACGUUACUGACGCUGAGGCACGAAAGCUAGGGGAGCAAACAGG